GGCUGGCCCGAAGUUAGUUAUCUCAGUUGACUGUUCACAGUUACAGAUCGAACUCCUUCUACUCUUUACCCCCUUCUCACUGCUGCACUUGACUAGUGUAAA
ensembl:Y_RNA Y_RNA Y RNA